AUAUAAACAGACUAAAUUGCAAAAACCAAAAACCACAACAAAGAGUAAAAAAAAAAAAAAGAAAUCUCCAACCCAAACCCUUCCUCCGCCGGCGUUUGUUUACAAAAAAAAAAAAAAAAAGAAGUUCAAAUUGAAGAAUGCCUCUAUUUUCUUCAAGAGCUAUGUUCAGGAACUACGACAAGCAUAGAAAGCAAAACAGUGACCCUAAAGGCAAAUUGUCCGACGUGUUCAGGAGCUAUGCUGAUUCUAAUGGGGAGCUAAACAAGGAAAAGCUGAAAGACGCUUUUCUACAUCUGGAUGCUGCCAUGCCGUACCGGCAAGCCGAAGAAGCCCUCCGUGUCGUCGGCAAAAGCUAUUACAUUAACAUCAAGGAUGAAGCCGACCUUAACACCCUUGUCGACUAUGCUUACAAUAAGGGUUACGGGUAUUCAAUUUGAUUAGCUAAUUUAUAAGCUUAUUUUCUUUUUCUUUUUCACUUUUAAUCAUCUAAUAUGUUUUUUUAAAUAUAUGUAAGUUUCGUCCCAAAAGACAUUAUUACAGAAUAAAGGUUUCGGGGCUUAUGAUUGUGAUGUAGUUUUUGCAUGUACUUUGCAAAGACUACAUUAUAUAUAUGUUUGUGUGGCAAUGAACAUGAUGAUGUUCUUUAUCAAUUAUAAUAAUAUGUGUUGAAUGUUAUUAUUAUGUUAUUAAA